ACUUUACUCUAUAAUAUAGAAGAGAGAGAGAGAGAGAAAGAGAGAGAGAGAAAAGAGAGUUUCAAAUUACGAUUAUAUGUAAGUUCUUGUUGAUGAGGUAAUUUGCUACUACUGCAACUAAAGGAGACAUCCAAAGGGAUCGCAUUGAUCCUGAACCUAAAUUUCUUCUCCAUCGUUUUUUCUGGGAUCAUGCUAUCCCUUUGGAUUCCUCCUUUGGUAGCUUCUGACAAUGGCGUUUUAAUGCUGGUGCACCACUUCCUUAUCAUGCACCACCAACAGCAAAUAUAUAUGUACAAUUCACGGCGAAAACUCGCCGGAGAAAACCAGCAAGGAUUGAAAUUUAUGGAGAGAAGAUGAUGCAAACAGUGAUAGAUCAUUAUAGGAUGCAACUUGGCCUUCUCUAGAAAAUGGAAAGAGCAGCUUCGAGAAAAGUUCAAAAGGUUGUCAAGAAUGGGAUAAUUUCUAAUCCUAUAUAAGAGAGCUAAAGGUGAAAGCACCUAAGAAUUUAUUCAUAUUUCCUUAUUUCAGAAAGAUGUAAAAGGAAUAAAUUAUAUGUCUUUUAAAGAAGUAUAUAUAGGAAUUUCAGAUGAUCUUUUUUUUUUAAUAUAUAUAUAUAUAAUACUAGUGUUAUUUUCAAGAAUCUAUAAUAUAGGUGUGGAACUAAUAUUUUAUAUCUGGUGGAGGUUCUUGGCCACUUAUUUCAUACAUCUAUAUACCCACUUUCUCCUACCUACACACACUUUGCGCAAAGAAUUGAAACUGCAUCUUACUUGAUAUUUUCUUUAAAAUUACAAUGCAAAUCAAGAAAAUUUAAUUUACAGAAUUUAGAAUGAAAGGAAAAUUUUAUUUUUUAUUUUUUGUUUCUUUUUUGGUUAAUUAUUUAGAUAUAUGCAUGCAUUUAAUUUAGUUUAUGAAUCAAGAAACAUUAAUUAUCAAUUAACAAGAAAAUUUCCAAGUGGAAGCUGGCCAUUUGAUAGAACAGUGACCCCUCCAUAUAGUGAAUACAAUAAUUUCUAAAUGCUUUUGACAAGAAAUUCAAAUACCCCAUUUCUGGAAACCUUGAUCAUUGCAUACUUCCAACAAGUUGAUUUCAACUUUUCAAAAAGUAACUUUUUUUAUGCUUAUAGGAAUGAGUUAAAUAAAAUUAAUUGUUAAUUGUUUUUUUUUUUUUUUUAAAGUUUUCUGGCUCAGCCUAUAGCAUGUGUUUGAAGUUACUUUCUGCUUGCCUAAGCCAUCCCUAAAAGCUGGGUUUUAAAGGUCCUAAAACAGAGUAGCAUGGCCAUGUUUCUUGUGUGGCAAUGGGUCAAGAGUCCAAUAAAUCACAUGGUUUGAGGACUUUAAUUAGAAUCCAAGGCAGUGAAAGAUGAUUUUAAAGGACUUUUUUUUUU